CCACCCCUACAAGAGCUCCAUUCAAUCGUCUCUCAGGACCUGCCCUGAGAUCUGAGACACUCUCAGGCAACAAUAGCAGGUCAGAUGGAAAAGUAUUUAUUAACGUUUCAAAUAGAGGAGCUCUAGAAAGGCAACCCUAAAGAAGGCCUUUCAUGGCAGCAUUUCAGGCAGUGGUCAGGGCAGUCUGUUGAGAAACGGAGGGUGUCACGCUUCCCUUGCUGCCCUCCCGCCAGAACAGAACCAACUUUCUAUUGCAUUUCAAAGCAGGGCCAACCCAGGUCAGCCAGGUCACUGCCCAUGGCUACCUCCGAGGAGAAGCUAAUCUAACAAGGAUCUAGCAGCACCAGAGGGAGGAACCGGUUAUUGAGAUGUAAAAUUGGGUUAAAGUAAAUGAGUCCAGCCCUCUGCUCUACUCCCCAGCCCUGAGGAACCUCUGAGGUAGCUGCAGUGGACAAACCCUGUGGGUGGUAAACAGACCCAAGCCCAGAAGUUUAAAAUUCCUAUGUUCUGCGCCUAGCCGGCUCCUAAUCUGCUGUGUGAUGUUAGGCAACAUUCUAAACCUCUCUGAGCCUUGUGACACGGCUGGCAACGUGAAGAGCUUGGACUGGGUGGAUCUAAAGCCUCCUCCAGCUCCAAUAUGCUGUGAUGUCCCCUGCCCUUCCCUCUUCCACCCCCUUCCUCACUCCCUUUCCCUCACACACAGACACACACACACACACCCCAGUCCCAAAGAUCGAAUCCAAGAGAAAGGCAGAGUUUGGGUCAACUCAGUCCAGAGACUUCUGGAAACUGCAAUGAACCUGCAGCUUGUAUUUGGCCAACUGUCUUAGGGACUGAAAGAGCUUCUCUUCCCAGGUCAACCAAAGGUCCAGGCCUAGAUAAAAGGACUGCCCCACGCUCAGUGAGUUGAGUUGCUCAGCCUGCGUCCAGGAUGAACUAAGGCUCCUCGCUGACGCUCCAGUUUCAAACAAAGCUUUGAAAGAGAACUGCAUUCAGUGGAAAAUCCCCCGGUAACAAGGCCCCUGGGAGCAUUCUGGGAACACCAUCUGUCAAGCAUCAUUCCCACAACCUGUGACCAGAACAGCCUUUCAGUGUCAAUACCAAUCACAAUCAUCACAUCCUGUGUCUUUAGACAGUGGUCCUGGACCCUGUAAAGCCCUUCAUCCGGACUCAGUUUGGCCUCAUACAACUCUCUGAAUGAUGCACAGAUUUGGGGACCACUGCCCACCAUGCCAUCUGCACAGAAUCUGGGAAUCCUGGAAACUGCAGGCUUAGAAGGACCAUCAGAGCUCCAGGAGGGCACUCACCUGCCCAGCGCAAGUUGUCUCUCCGAGGCGUCCACAACCGCUGAGGAUACGGAUGGUGACACAGUGACAGAGACCACCAGUAGUCACAGCUUGAAUGAAGGAGCAGCAUCAUUCUCACAUAACACUCCAGGGCUGAUAGGGCAGCUCCUUAGGCUUGGGGACACAGGACUCUUCUGCUUGAAUUUGUAGGGUCUACUGACAUUUGGGCACCGCAGGAAGCAGACUCCAAGCUGGAGGUCAGCGUGCAGGAUCCACACCUGUGAAAAGGGAUACCGGCUGGAUUGAGCAGAGGGAGGAGUCGGGCUGUGAUACGGGCAUGGCCAAGGCUUCAGCCGACCCCUUGGAGACCCCUGAGGCUGUGAUAUCAUUUCAGGUUUUUCAUACUGAGACGAGGGAGCCAAGCCUUUACACACACACACAAGGACUAGUCGUUGGAUACUGGCUGCCCGUGGGAGGCGGUAUGACCUUGGUCCAGAAGACUCUCUUCAGCUGAGGGCGAUUCUCAGCAUUGGCUGAUAGCUGAGAGUGGGCAGCUGUGGGAAUGAGCCCUUUGCUCCUGAAAGGUAAUCUGAGCAGCACAUCACAGCACCCACUAUGAGACGGUUACAUGUUCAAUUGUGCUCCACCCUCCCAAAAAAAAAUCCGUAUGUUGAAGUUCUAACCCCCAGUACCUCAGAAUGUAAACUGAUUUGGAAAUAGA